CCCUUCUUUUUUGGAUGCCCUGUUAAUGUUCUGUGUUGGUAUGUUUGGUUUAUAAGACAUAUCUAAUACAUUGCAAUUCAAUCCUGUGAUCUGAAAUUCUGCAAGUUUUUCCAUUGCUAGUAGAGAAGAAUUCUAAUUACAUCUUAGUUGACAGCUUUGUUAAGGAAUGGCUGAUGUGAACCCAUUCCUGUCCUAAAUAGGCAUUUUGGCUCUGAAGGAGUGACAGAAAAGAUAGUUUUGUCACUGAAGUCCAACAGCAUGUUUAUUUUCAUUGGCUUCCUUAACAGUGAGAGGCUUCCUUUCUCUCUACUACUCCCUGCUACUGCUUUAUAUAUUUUCUUGCACCUGGGUAUUGCUAAAUGCUGAUCAGAUUUCAUUAGCAAAGUGGAGAGCUGUGCAGGACAAAGCUGGAGCCUCGGGUUUUGAUGUGCAUUGCCAAAUCACUCCCCUUAAAGACUCCUUUCCUUGAGGAGUGCAUUGUAGAAUAGCAAGAGGAAUUUACUGUACAUCACUGUCAGAACUAUUUAUAUAAAUGGAGUAUUCUUAACACAACUGUUUCCAGAGAUGCCAGUGCUGUAUUCUAUUUUUAUGCUGCUUUAGGUAAUUUAAGUUCACUGCUGAAGUCAUGUAUAUAUGGGCACACAGUCAAAUUCAAGGUCAAGAAAAACAAACAUAACGUUGAGCUUAGUGGCACUGAAUAGCUAAGUCACACCUGGCCCCUGACAGGCAUUAUUGCAUACUAGAACGUUUUUGUUAUGCAAACAAAUCUGUUGUCUAAUCACAAAGGUUUUGGUUUUCCUGUCCUACACAGGGUUGUGUUGCUCUCAAACGAGUGUUCCAUGCAGAGCUUGUGGAAAUGAACAGAUUUAUGGCACACGACAUGGUGGAUCUGUGCUGGAAGCUGUCUGUCUGCUUUUUCUGCUGUCAAGUUGUCUCAGGAAGAGUUAAGGAGGAGGCACAUUAUGUGGCUGCUGUGUAUGAACAUGAGUCCAUCCUGAGUCCUAACCCAACAGCCCUCAUUGAUCGACAGUCUGCGCUGGAACUCAUGGGCAGAAACCUGGACAUCUAUGACCAGCAAGUAGCGGCUGCUGCAAGACAGGGGGCACAGAUCAUUGUUUUUCCUGAAGAUGGAAUCCAUGGCUUCAACUUCACAAGAAGAUCAAUUUAUCCUUACUUAGACUUUGUUCCACAUUCCGACUCUGUGAAGUGGAAUCCAUGCAGAGAGAAGUAUUUGUUCAGUGACACAGAGGUUCUUCAACGUCUGAGCUGCAUGGCACUGAAGAACAAAAUAUUCGUGGUGGCAAACUUAGGAACUAAGCAACCCUGUGAGCACACCGACCCUCACUGUCCACGUGAUGGAAGAUACCAGUUCAAUACCAACGUGGUGUUCAAUGAUGCUGGUACGCUGGUAGCCAUGUACCGUAAACACAAUCUGUAUUUUGAAUAUGCUUUUGAUACCCCUCCAGAGCCUGACUAUAAGCUCUUUGAUACCCCUUUUGCUGGCAAGUUUGGUAUGUUUACUUGCUUUGACAUACUCUUCUUUGAGCCAGCAGUGAAUCUAAUCAGACAAUACAAUGUAAAACAGAUUGUCUAUCCGACUGCCUGGAUGAACCAGCUCCCACUCCUGUCUGCUGUAGAAUUUCAACAAGCUUUUGCAACAGCUUUCAGUGUCAAUAUUUUAGCAGCUAAUAUCCACCACCCUACCCUGGGCAUGACAGGGAGUGGCAUAUACACUCCUGUCAAAUCAUUUAUCUACCACAACAUGGAAAGUUACGGUGGCAAGCUCAUAGUAGCAGAAAUUCCCGUCACUAGUGCAGAUUACAAAACCAAUUUGGAGCAUAAUGAAAGAUUUAGAGAGAAUGUACAUCAUUCAUGCACUACUUUUACAAGUACCUCAGGGGAUGACCAAGUUUGCUUUAUGGAAGGACAGGAGGCCCCUGGCAAAGUAUCAGAAAAAGGAAAUGAACAGUCGCCUCCCCUUUUCUAUGCAGAAAUGAUGCAUGACAAUUUUACUUUCGUUCCUGUAUGGGCAGAAAAAGGAGAACUUCAGGUUUGUGCCAAUACUCUUUGUUGCUACUUAAAUUAUAAGAGAGAUGUUUUAACUGAUGAAUUAUAUGCUUUGGGAGUUUUUGAUGGGCUCCAUACAGUGAAUGGCAUAUACUAUGUCCAGGCCUGUGCAUUAGUGAAGUGUGGAGGUCUCAGCUUUAGCACUUGUGGGCAGGAGGUUACACAUGCCACUGCUCUGAUAGAUUUCCAGCUAUGGGGAAAUAUGAGUACUCCUUAUAUCUUUCCUUUACUGCUGACAUCUGGUAUUACCUUGGACUUUGCUGAUCACAUGGGCUGGAAAAACAACCACUAUUUCCUAAGCAAAAAUAGAACUUCUAAUGGCCUACUGACAGCUGCUCUGUAUGGACGAUGGUAUGAAAAGGACUAGCACAGAUAUUUAACUGCAUCAGAUUUUCAGAGCGUAUACCUUAACAUGAACUGUUGAACAUCUGUACUUCAGAAUCUUCAGGUUUCAUAAAGGAAAAUAGUCACAUCAUUUACUGAAAGCGCGAGAAGCCCUUAGCAGAGCUGAAGGUCGCACAGGCAGAAGAAACAUACCCAGAAGAAACAUGCCUAUAUGACCAUCAUUUCCCUUCAAUGGAUAUAAACAGUUUUAGUAAAGCUUCCUAAAUGUUUUCUGUCUGGGAGAAAAAUCAAACCAGAAAGCAUGGACUUUCCGCCAUACAAGAAAUACAGCUUAAAUCAAGAACAACUUUAAAUCAGCAGAUUAUUUUUAAUGUGUUCAGGAUGUGGAAGAUGUUUGUACUGAGACAAAAGAAAUAACCUGAGAAGGAGUAGGGAAUGCUGUCUGUGAGGCGCCUUGGUACUGCUGAGGGGGAAAAAAAAUCAGAAAAGCCCUGUCCAGCUAGGGGUAACAGCACACAAGCUGGAAGUAUUAGGGAUUUCAGCAUAAGGGAUGUGGUGCUGAGUUAUCCAGGUAGUUGUGAGGAUACUCUGAAGAUGUUGAAAGUAACUGCCAGAAAAUACAGCAAAGAAAUGUCACGAACAGGACUUUGGAGUUCAGUUCUUGAGAGGCAUGUGAACAGGCUCAGAAUGUCAGAAACGAGUAAUGGAGUGGGACAAGCAGUUCAGAACAAAGAUCUUCAAAACGCGCAAAGUUGGUGCAAGCUUGUAUAAGUAGACCUUUACAGGGAGAUGACUAGAUUAAAGUGACUGAGCAUCAAGAGGCUACUGCAACCACCACGGAACAGAGGUGCAAAGCCUUGUGGGGUGUGGCCCAGCCUUGCCCAGGCUGUGGUCUUUCUUGUAGUAUUAAUUAACACACUGGCAUCGCAGAAAGCCCAAGAGUUAAAGUACCACAGUAGACUGAUCACCCUUUUUGGCUGCUUCAGAUAUACCAGCUGAACUGAAGAAAAGAACCAAAUGAUAAUUCAGAACUCGAGAGAACCUGAACAGCGACUGAGCGACACACACAGAUUCAGGGGCUAGAAUGAACUAAUGCCACCUCCAUUUAUGCAUAUUAACAAAAGUGACAAAAUAUCAGUAAUUACAAAUAAUCAGAGGCCAAAGUGAGAGUUUUCGCUGAGUCAGGUUUUUAGUGGUCAGUAGUAACAGGAAUAUUUCAGACAUUUGUUGUGCCUGAUCUCCUCCUGGAGCUGGGGCAACAGCAGAAGCCACAACCAACAGUUAGCAAUACCCACAGCAGAUCAAGCUCUUAGUAGAAGAGAUUAGAAAAGUUGAAUUUGGUAAGAAGUUAAUGAAUUUCAAGAAAUAUCUUGAAGAUUUAUUAUAAAACUAUGGAGGCAGCUUGUAUAAGGGACGUUUGGCAGGGGAGAGGGAAUAUAUAUAGAAGAGGGAAUGAAACAUUACAUUUUGCUUUAAAACUGUUACAGUGUCUGAGGCUGAGACAUCAGUGUCAGUCCUUCUGAGCUGCAAUGCAAUGAGAAGAAAACCUGCACACCUGUCACUAAAAAGGGUUGGAAGUGAGGCCUUCUUUUGUUCUGCUGUGAAUUCGAAGAGCUAAAUUUCUGAUUACUGCUACUGCAAUUUUAAUGCACAAGACAAUGUAAGGUGUUCUUAAAUGUUUAAUGAUAUUAAUAACUUUAAGACAGCUUGAAUGACUCCUCAGAUUCCAUAUUAUUCAACCAUGUUCACAGAUACAUAGUGAAAUAUUGCAAGACUCAGCUUGAAAAUUGUUAAAAUGCAGUACGGGAAGACAGGGAGUUCAGUUUACCAUGAUAUACAGUGACUAAGGAAGCAUUGAUAAUUUAGAUACUACUUCAUUUGAAGUAAAGUAUCAAUGCUACAAGAUCGGAAUGCCAGGUUGGAAAGAGUUCCAUCAGAUGAGAGAUGAGUCGAAACAGGAAAAACAAAAUCAUGCUGCAGUUUGGGGAUGUUAGUCAAGGCUAACUUUGUUUCCCAGGGAAAAAACCAAGGCAUUUUGCUGAGCUUCAGGUUACUGAUCAGCUGAAAAAAAAUGCUCCUCCCAACGGCUGAAAUCUGUUUUUCUUUCAGUAGGUAGGUAAGGAUGUGUGGAUCAGACUAAGGGCCCAGCUGUCGGACUGUACAUGACAGCAGGGUACUGUUUUCUUAAAAAUAACCACUUGUUUUGACACUUCAAAUGGAUACAUCUGGUUCUUUCCUUAACAGUCUUCAAAAUAUAUGGAUAUACAUGAAACUACAUGAAAAUAAAGCCAAAGCUAUCAUCUUAACAAGAGAAAUCAACAGAUCUGUAUUAUGUCUAUAUUUAGAAUCUCUGGUUUAAGUCUGUAAGGAAGACUGAGGUUUCAUAAAUUCUUACCUUGUCCAAUUCAUACAGUAGUCACAGCUACUGAUUUAUAAAGUGUUUUAUUCCUAAUCUGGAAGAAUUUUUCUUCAACCAUCCAUCAACUUCUGCAGCAUAUUAAAAGAAAAGGAAGUUGUCACCAGUCAUUAGAGAUUACUGCAAGCAGCCAUAAUUACCAGUUAUCUCAGAUUUAAGGAUUCAUAUGAAUUCGCUGGAUAAACUUCAGGAAUUUCAAUACUUGCUGUUUUUCAACUGAUCUUAAAUGUACUUAACUGAGUUUUAAUAUGGAUCUAUGGAAAUGGUGUUCAAAGUCUAAACUACUUAUUAGGACAUGAUAAAGGCCAAAGUUAAUACUCUGAAUCUAGUCUGGAUAGUUCAGGGAGUGUCUCAGCACAGACGAACGCUUUUAAAACAAAAACACAGUGGCCUUUGCACUGAGAAGUGGCUAAGUACUGUCAGCAGUCACAGAGUGGACAAAGGGGGAAGUGAGGAGAGCACUCCUGCAACUGCAGGCAGGGAAUCCUACGGACCUCCCUCUCCUCACUGCUGUACACCCCUCAGCAAAGAGCACGCCCUCCACUUCUGCAGAACUGCUGCUGCUUCUAACAUAGCUUUCUGCUUUUAAGAUGUGAACCUCACUCUUCCAAAUACGGAGUUAGGAUUAUAAGCUCCCCUGACACAUCUGGCACUGUAAAAUGUUUAAUUGCAUGUUUAGUCGUAGAACUUCUCACAACUAUCUGCUCUCACUGGUAUUCACUUCUGCUUAGAAGGUUUUACUAAGCUCUCUCUCUCAAACUAGAAUAUAAACAGAAAACAAUAUUUGGAUUAUUACAGUAUUUGUUGCUUUUAAAUGGACAGAAUCUUUGGGCAAGACAGGAAGCUAAUUCCUAAAAACACAAUUAUGGGGCUGAAGAACCUAUGAACGUUAUCAGCCAUACAUAACAUAACAGCUUUGGGUUUUCUUAGCACCCAUUUUUCAGAUGUUAACUGAAGCAAAACUUAUAUGGUUGUUUUGGAGAAAUCCUGGUGCUGGAUAAGCAAUAAAUAGUAGGAAGAAAUAAAGAAGUAGGAGGCAAGACUUCAUACAAUUUUACAAGAAAAAUCUUCUUUACAGAAGGGUCACUCCUGAAAGGAAAGGAAAAAACACAACAAAAAGAAAAAAAAGGAAGAAAAAAGAUGAACUCUUGAUUGUGUCAGGAUCGGGCAUUUACACAAACACAGCACUCUCUGAAAACAACAGUUACUCAGUCCAGUAAGUUCUGUGCUAACCUGGCAUUUUCUACGUUUAUCCCGAGAACUGAAUAACCCAUAAAACAAAGCAGCAGUCGGAGUGCUCAGAAAGCUGAUCAGAGCUGGUUGUUGUCAUUACCCACGUCCCUUCAUUUUAUUUUUUUUUCCCUAGUAUAAAAAGGGUUUCUUUUAUCCCACAACUUCAGUGAUCCAGCUGUAUUUUUUUGCUCUUUUCUGGUGAAAACUCAAGUGGUUGUUUGGAUGAAGGGAAAAAAGAAGAGGGUGCAGAAUCAUUUUCUGGAAAGCAGCAGACGUCCAUUCAGGUAUGAAGAUUAAAAAAACCCGAUGACACUGACUGCAGGCAAUGUUAUUUGUUUUACAGAAACAAGGAACCUUCUGUUUCUUGACCUCUCAUUAGGAAAGCAAACCAGAGCAGUGAGUUUUUUUAAACAAACUUUGUUCCAUUUUAGGAAUCAUAUUUUCUAGUAGGAGUCCCACUUACCACUUACAAGGCACAAUUACUGUCCUAUCCAUUAAGUAAAUUCAUGCAAACUGAGAUAUCCAGGCUCACUGGCUAAGCUCUAAAUGAGGAGACAUGCAUGCAACUCUGAAUCCCUAAACAGAGUUAACAACUUGUAGUUAAAAUCAAACAUCUUAAAAACUUGACAGCUUCAUUAACAGAAACAUCUAAUUGUUACCUUUCCAAUAGUGCAGAUGCUACUUGCCAUUUUCAUUCAAGUGAGGAUGAAUGGAUCCAUGCUGUUUCAACCUCAGUAUUUAGAUAGCUGGAGUGAAUCUCAAGACAGACCAAUACGGACCUUUUGAGCUGCCCGCACGCUCGACCAAAGCAAGUCAGUCACUGCCAUGGAGCUGUGUACUUUGAGGGAAGAAAACAAAGAUCACCAUCGCCCUGAAGUCAUCUAAUUCUGUUCCAAGACAAACACUGCGUAUGCAAACAACAAACACAGGCAGAAAUGGUUAAAAAAGUGGUAUUUAAAAGAAAGCCUAGAGGAGUAAUUAAUUAAUCUAACAUUUAAGGUUACUUGAAAUUCCAAUAGCUCAUCUUCAGUUUAGGAUUACAAAGCCUUUGGGAAGCAGAUUUUAUAAAUUCUAACAGUUCAACAAAAGAGACUUUGCCAUUAACACUUAAUAGAUACAAAUAAAUUAUUCCUUCGUAGAACUCACAUUUGGGUUUUAUUAUAUUCCGUAAAAUAUACAAGAAUCUUGAAGUACUGAAAGAGUGCAGGUAAAUACAGUAUUCAAGCAGUCACUAUUUCUAUGUACAUGCUCUUAAUUCUUCAAAAAAACCCACAAAAUUAUCAAACAGAUCAAAAUAUUGUCCCGUGUUUCUACUUUAUGUUCAGAAAACCAGCUGAUAAUUUACAAUAUCAUAAAGAUUUCCAGUUUCACAAUACAAAAAGGAUAAAAAGGAAAUUUGAAUCGGUUUGCAGUAAUUUAUUUGUAAUUUACCAGGACACGCAAGGAUUCCUUGCAUGUACAUAAGCCAUUUCACUUGAAAAGUAACAGUUUUAAUUAAAGCAGAGCCAAAUAAAGUAAAUAUUCAUAUUUAACAGAUUAGACUUCAGCUUGCUUAUGUCACUUUUUCAUUCUUCAGGCAAUUAAAAAAAUGCAGUAGUCUGUUAUAAAUAAAAAAGAUAAAAAUCUUCGUGUGAGGCUGAACUACAUUACGGGGACCUGCUUCUGCUGUUCAUUUCUAAAUGGAACACAACAAAGAUACACAGCUCUUCCCACAGACCAGACACUGUACUUCUUUCUAAUAGGGAAAUAUACUUUUAAAUUCACCUCCCCCUCCCCCGGUAACUCCAGGAUUCAAAAAAAAAAAAAAAA